rnacentral:ncRNA from 2 species
UUCUUAUCAUGAGUGGUGGAGGGACUGGCCCUGUGAAGCCCGACAACCGGCAUUUUCGUUUGAAUGUAUCGGUGUCAAUUCCUGCAGAAUACAAUUUAUUCUGAUAGAUGAGGA